rnacentral:rRNA from 1 species
CCAAUGGCACUGCCCGGUAGCUAAAUGCGGAAGAGAUAAGUGCUGAAAGCAUCUAAGCACGAAACUUGCCCCGAGAUGAGUUCUCCCUGAGACUUUAAGUCUCCUGAAGGAACGUUAAAGACGAUGACGUUGAUAGGCCGGGUGUGUAAGCGCAGCGAUGCGUUGAGCUAACCGGUACUAAUGAACCGUGAGGCUUAACCUUACAACGCCGAAG